CAGCAGCCACGGUAAUACGAGGGGGGCAGGCGUUGUUCGGAAUUAUUGGGCGUAAAGGGUGCGUAGGCGGUUUGAUAAGUUUGAUGUGAAAUCUCUGGGCUCAACCCAGAGUCUGCAUCGAAAACUGUCGGGCUUGAGUAUGGGAGAGGUGAGUGGAAUUCCCGGAGUAGCGGUGAAAUGCGCAGAUACCGGGAGGAACGCCGAUGGCGAAGGCAGCCACCUGGUCCACUUCUGACGCUGAGGCGCGAAAGCGUGGGGAGCAAACCGGAUUAGAUACCCGCGUAGUCCCUGUCUCUUAUAC
rnacentral:rRNA from 1 species